GACGAACGCUGGCGGCGUGCCUAAUACAUGCAAGUCGAGCGAGUGGCGGACGGGUAAGUAAUGUCUGGGAAACUGCCCGAUGGAGGGGGAUAACUACUGGAAACGGUAGCUAAUACCGCAUACCAUCAGAUGUGCCCAGAGGGGAUUAGCUAGUAGGUGGGGUCACGGCUCACCUAGGCGACGAUCCCUCGCUGGUCUGAGAGGAUGACCAGCCACCCUGGAACUUAGACACGGUCCAGACUCCUACGGGAGGCAGCAGUGGGGAAUAUUGCACAAUGGGCGCAAGCCUGAUGCAGCCAUGCCGCGUGUAUGAAGAAGGCCUUCGGGUUGUAAAGUACUUUCAGCGAGGAGGCGUUACUCGCAGAAGAAGCACCGGCUAACUCCGUGCCAGCAGCCGCGGUAAUAC
rnacentral:rRNA from 1 species